rnacentral:lncRNA from 1 species
AGGAUUUGCUGAGCACCUACUAUGCAUCAGACGCUGUGUUCUAGGCAAGGGGGAUACACCUGAUGGAAGAAGGUCCUUCCCUAGACGUAGCUAACAUCCCAGUGUGGGAGAUGACACGAAACAAGUAUGGUGGAAAUGAUGUCACGCCCACUCCAGGCCUAACCUCUAGGAGGACUGGCAGUUUCUGCUAUGGCCUCUGGGAGCCAUGAGCUGCCAUGAAAAAGGUCAAACUACUCUGCUGGAGACACCCACCUGGAGAAGCCCUGGGAUUCCAUGGAGAGGCAGACGGACCCAGCUGAGCUCAGUGUUCCAGCCAUCCCCACGAAAGCACCAGGAACCUGAGUGAAACCAUCUCGAUCCUCCAGCAUAGCACAAUCAGCAGCUGAAGAUCACUGAGUGACUCUAGUCGGCGCUCCAUGGAUCACUGAAGGAUCACCCAGCUGAGCCCUGCGCAAAUUUCUGACUCACAAAACUGUAGACGAUACAAUGGUUGUUGUUUGGGGGCAGUUUGUUAUGCUGUAGCAAUAAAUAGCCAGAAGAGACCAAGAGGCAGAAGUUGUUUGCUGAAAAUAAUGCAAAAAUUAUACCAGCCCUUGCCCAGCUACCUCCGGAUUUCUUGCUACAUGAAAAAAAAAAAAAAAAUCCCUAUUUGUUUAAGCCUCGUUGACACCUUGGGCUAUUGCUCAGUCCUCAGUUUUCCAUUUGUUAAAUGGAGCAUUAGCUCCUGUCUUACUACUUCCCAAAGGUGCCUGAGAGGGUAGAGUAAGAAUGAAGAAGAGAAGGCCUUUUUCAUGUAAUAUAAACAGUGCUUAUGUUCCCAAAGAUCAGCGAGUGACAUGCUCAAACAGUUAUAAUAUAUUUAAUGUGGUCAUAAUGGGAGUGAACUUGUCAUGAACCAAUUGCAAUGGAUUUUGGAAUCAGACACGUUAGGGCUUGAGGCUCUCAGCUCUGCUAGACAAACUUCUAACUUGACAAAUAGGCCAGUCAUUAAAUCUCUCCAAGCCUUAGUUCCCUCAUCAAUAAAGCACAGACGAUGUGA